AUGCGGCGGGCUCGGGCCGCGGGGCUGGCGGCGCUGGCCGCGCUGCUCAUCGUGGAUGCAGUCAGAGCCCAGGUACAUCAGGAGCCAUUCCUGGAGACCACCGAGGGCACCGGCAUCAACAUCACCUGCUCACAUACCAAAACCCAGACCAGUGAUUGGAUCCAGUGGUACCGUCAGCUCCCUGGCCAAGGACCCGAACUCCUCGCACUCACUCUGAAAGAGUCCAAAGAGCUGCCGGGUGGUGCAGGACAGCUGUCGGUGUCGGCAGAUCGGAAUUCGAGCUGGCUGUGGCUCGCUGAGCCCCGGCGCGGGGACGCGGCCGUGUAUUACUGCGCGCUGGGGGCCACGGGCAGAGGAGCCGGGGCUGCGGCCGGGCACGAACCGCGGCGGG